rnacentral:lncRNA from 1 species
GGAGUGUCACGCGCGGGCGCUCCUGCCGCCGCGCCUGGGAGAGGCCUCCGGCACCCCGGGCCCCUUUCCAAGCACAACAGCAGCCCUGCCGCGGCCCCGCGCUGACCCACUUUCCCUCCUGCCUCCUCAGCCCGAGGCCGAGAAUCCAGCGGCCGCCGCCAAGCAGAUCUCAUCCCAUCAGUUGAAGACCUUAAGAGAAAAGAGACUGACCUGCUCUGAGCAAGGAGGAAUUCUGCUGGCCAACUGCUUGUGAACUCCAACUUGUAAUAUCGGUCUCCAGCCUACCGGCUUACUCUGCAGAUUUUGGAUUUGCCAAGCCUCCACAACCGCAGAAGCCAAUUCCUUAAAAUGAAUCCCUUACAACAGUUCCCUAAAAUAAAUUCUUCAAAAUUCCUUAAAAUAAAUGUGUGUGCAUGUGUGUCUGUGUAUAUAUAUAGCCUAUGUAAUGUCUAAUAUAGAUCUAUAAUAUAUAUUAGAUAAAUAUACACAUACUUAUCAUAUAUAUAUGUGUGUGUGUGUGUGUGUUUCUCCUAUUGGUUCUGUUCUCUGGAGAACCUAAUACAGAAACAAAUCUGUUUAUUCUUCUAGCCUCUGUAUCAUCAGGCCUCUUUGUUAGAGCAGGUGAGCUUUACCCUAACUAAUUCAGAGGUUGAUUCGUUUUCAUGCAUGUAGAUACUUGUCAUUUAGCUUCUAUUAUCUGCCUGUAUUUUAAGGUUCUUUGUCUUAAAAUGUUAUGACUCCAGGAAUGUUAUAUAUUAAGUAUAUUAACCUUUUGACUAUUAUAUAUCUUGCAAACAUCUUGUAAUCAGUCACUUGUCUCUUUAUUUUAUUUGGAGCGGCUUUCAACCUAGAGCAGUGGUCCCCAAACCCGGGGCUGCAGACUAUUCCCUGUCUGUGGUUUGUUAAGAACCAGGCUACAUAGCAGAAGAUGAGUAGCAGGCGCGGGAGCAUGACCACCUGAGCUCCGCCUCCUGUCAGACCAGCAGCGACAUUAGAUUCUCAUAGGAGCACAAACCCUACUGUGAACUGUGCGUAUGAGGGAUCUAGGUUGCACAUUCCUUAAAAGACUCUUAAUGCCUGAUGAUCUGAGGUGGAACAGGUUCACCCUGAAACCAUCCCCCGCUCAGCCUGUGUCUGUGGAAAAAUUGUCUUCCAUGAAACUGGUCCCUGGUGCCAAAAAGGCUGGGGACUGCUGACCUACAAGAUAUAUUAGUUAUGACUCUUGGUGCAUACUCUUGACAGAAAUCCCACUCAACCUAGUAUAAUGCAGAGGACAGUUCACGGAGCAACUCAAAUAAUUGCCACUUUUACAAUAUUGAAGCUUCCUACGGGAAACAUAAUACAUCUCUCAAUUUAUGUCCUUUAAUACGAUUAAACAUUUUUCUUCAUGUAGGUUCUCCAGAAUUUUGGUUAUGCCUAUGCCUAGAUUAUUUAUGAUUGUUGUUGGUAUUGCAAAUGUCCUCUCCUAUUGAUUAUUUAAUGGUAUCUAUGGAAAGUAUUGAUUUUUGUGUAUUUGCUCUGUGCCCACUUGCCAUCUAACUGGUUGUUAUAUUUUAUUGAACCUUUCAAAGGAUAUGAAUUAUGCUGAUUUUAAUGUCUUCUUCUGAUUCCUGCAUUAUUAUCCUGUUUUCUCCAGCGUUCUGUCUACUUCUUCUGCAGGCUGUUGGUUUCCUUCAAAUGUCUGGGGAUUUUUGAUUGUCUGAUCCCAUUUGUAAAUGAACGUCCAGAGAGUGGUUUUCAAAGUGAGAUCCAUGGACCCCUAAGGGUUCUUAAGA